UCAUUAGGGGAUUAUUUUGUAUCUUUCUAACGAAUACUAGAAAAGUAGAUGCCUCGGAGGGACAAGCAGAAAAAAAGCCUACAUAUUUUUUUCCGCUACGAACCAAGGUUGAUGCUGCUGAUUUUUGAAAAUUAAUUUGAUUAUUGCUAUUAAUGUUUGUUGAUUUUGAUCGAAUGCUUACAAUAACAUUUAGUUUAAUGUGAAUAAAAGCAGCAUACCGAUUGAAAUAUAUUGGCACACUUAGUCAGAAGAUUUAACAUCAAGCUAUAUCUCAUCUCACAUUGCUAAAUACUUAUCUAUAAAUCUUUAUCAGUAAAGAAUAGGGUUGAAUAUUCUAUAUUUUAUUGUUGCAGAUCAAAUCACAUGAUACAAAUAGUGUCACGCCCCGGGACCGGCGGAGGCCCUCCCGGUAGCGUGCCCAGACCCGCCAUAUGUCUACACAUAUAAGGCGUCUACAAGAAAAGCGGAAGUAAAAGCAAGAGAUGGAACAAAUAAGAGAAGUGAAACAACAAGCAACUAAUGAUAUCAGAGCGAGUAAAGUUCUAACAUCUACACCAAGGUAAAGAAGUAAAGCUAGACAAUAAAAGAAUUCAUGAGUAGUACAAUAUCUGUCUCAAAAGUACAAAAAUGGUGGUCUCUAGUACACUAGUAUAACUCUCAACCUCUCGCAAAAAGAAAUACAUCGAGAGGUAGACCACCUAACAACUCGUCCCUCGCUGAAGAGCUAGCUGGAAGCAAUGCCCUUCCCUCGGUCCCUGGCCUCACCCGGCGUGGAAGGCUCUGAAAGAAAUCAUAAAACAGAGGGCGUGAGAACUAUAAUUUAUAGUUCCCAGUGGGCAAUUACUGACCUCAGCUCAUCGCACCACUAGGCCCCAAAAGAAAAGGAGUAGUAUAAUAAACAACAAUAAGGAUAACAGUAACAACGGUAAGAAAGCAUGAUGCCAAGGUGAUGUACAUCUACGCUAUCAUAAGAUAAUAUGUCCAAUGCAUACUAAUAUGUCUCAACAUAAUAAACAAGUAAACCUCACGAUGCAAUAUGUCAAUGCAUAAGGGUAAACACUAUCCAAACGACCGAGUAUACUACUAUGCAAUAAUGAAACCGACAAGAAUACUAAUGUACCAAUGCUAUAUCAUGAGCAUGUCCAAGUAAUCCAACUACUAAUCCUAUCUAGUAGUGAUAGUCCAUAUACAACACCGUGUCGAUUUCCAUUUCCAAUUUAAGGACCUACUCAAGGUAGUCCAGCUUGC
rnacentral:lncRNA from 1 species